rnacentral:rRNA from 1 species
AGCGAACGCUGGCGGCAGGCCUAACACAUGCAAGUCGAACGAACCUUUCGGGGUUAGUGGCGGACGGGUGAGUAACACGUGGGAACGUGCCUUUAGGUUCGGAAUAACUCAGGGAAACUUGUGCUAAUACCGAAUGUGCUCUUCGGGGGAAAGAUUAAUCGCCUUUAGAGCGGCCCGCGUCUGAUUAGCUAGUUGGUUGAGGUAAUGGCUCACCAAGGCGACGAUCAGUAGCUGGUCUGAGAGGAUGAUCAGCCACAUUGGGACUGAGACACGGCCCAAACUCCUACGGGAGGCAGCAGUGGGGAAUCUUGCGCAAUGGGCGAAAGCCUGACGCAGCCAUGCCGCGUGAAUGAUGAAGGUCUUAGGAUUGUAAAAUUCUUUCACCGGGGACGAUAAUGACGGUACACGGAGAAGAAGCCCCGGCUAACUUCGUG